rnacentral:lncRNA from 10 species
AGGGGAGAACUACAAGUUGGAGGGAUGAAGGCAGUCCUUUCCAACUGAGGUGGGGAUGGGCCCCAGGAUACUCCACUUACCUCCCUCGCAGCCUCCGGGGUAACACAAGUGUCUCCUGCACACACAGAGACAAAGGGUCAGUGGCCAAGCAUGCGGGGCUACAACCUCCUCAGUGCCUGCUGAGGCACUGAGAGUCAUCCAAGGUACGGUGGUAAACAGACAGAUAGUCCUUCUCUGCCCCUCUUCAGCACACGGGUUCCUGAUCUUUGGAUCCCUGCACUCAAGCAAGAAUCUCCUUUUAAGCCUUACCCACCUGUCCUCAGAGUCCUUAGAGUCCCCAGGACUGGACUUCUCUCUGGCCUGAGGUGGCAGAGCGAGCAGCAGCUGGAUGGAGAAAGCUGGGCAGCUCUGGUCCCAAGGAGACUCUCACUCUGAUUAGCAGGGAGCUCUUGCUCCAAACCCAGGGUUCCAUGUCUGACAGGGCACAGAGCUGUGGGCUCCGAGGGAAGGAAGCCUACCCUCUUAGGGUGAGCUGGGGUCUCCUAACUGAAGGGAUGGAGGCUAUGGGGGUCCUGAGCAAGGGAGAAGAAACACUGUGAUCCAGGUCCUGGGCCAGGCACCCUGGCACCCCAGCUACCCCCUCAGCAGUCAGUGUAGGGAGGAAGAGGAGGAGGGGAAAGUCUCCCUCUCAGAGGAGCACGCCCCUCUAGGGGCUGUUGUGCAGUGGCCUUUACAAGUACAAAUAGCUGGGGCAGUUGGCACUUUGAAGUUGGCUCCUUUUUUUUUUUUUUUUUUUUUGAGAUGGAGUCUCACUCUGUCGCCCAUGCUAGAGUGCAGUAACCCGAUCUCGGCUCACUGCAACCUCCGCCUCCCAAGUUCAAGCGAGUCUCCCACCUCAGCCUCCUGAGUACCUGGGAUUGCAGGCGUGCACCACCACACACAGCUUAAUUUUUGUAAUUUUAGUAGAGACAGGGUUUCACCAUCUUGGUCAGGCUGGUCUCAAACUGCUGACCUCAAGUGAUCCGCCUGCCUCAGCCUCCCAAAGUGCUGGGAUUACAGGCAUGAGCCACCGCACCUGGCCAGAAGUUGGCUCCUUGAAAGUGUGGAGUUAGGCC